AUUGAACGCUGGCGGCAGGCUUAACACAUGCAAGUCGAGCGGAGCGAGGGUGCUUGCACCUUAGCUUAGCGGCGGACGGGUGAGUUAUGCUUAGGAAUCUGCCUAUUAGUGGGGGACAACAUUCCGAAAGGAAUGCUAAUACCGCAUACGCCCUACGGGGGAAAGCAGGGGAUCUUCGGACCUUGCGCUAAUAGAUGAGCCUAAGUCGGAUUAGCUAGUUGGUGGGGUAAAGGCCUACCAAGGCGACGAUCUGUAGCGGGUCUGGGAGGAUGAUCCGCCACACUGGGACUGAGACACGGCCCAGACUCCUACGGGAGGCAGCAGUGGGGAAUAUUGGACAAUGGGGGGAACCCUGAUCCAGCCAUGCCGCGUGUGUGAAGAAGGCCUUAUGGUUGUAAAGCACUUUAAGCGAGGAGGAGGCUUACCUGGUUAAUACCCAGGAUAAGUGGACGUUACUCGCAGAAUAAGCACCGGCUAACUCUGUGCCAGCCGCCGCCGUAAAAC
rnacentral:rRNA from 1 species